UGCUGAGCUCCUCCAAUAUUUUGUGUGUUGCUCAAGAACAUGAGUCACAGGCCACCGUCCUUACCUGCACAUCAGAGUGUGUUGAUCUUCACCCAUUCCCAAUUCAGAUGGAAGGGUUUCAACCUGAAACACUGAUGUGGCACAUUUGCUGGGUCAUGAACUUAUCAAUCACCUCAUGCUGUGGACCACUUCUGGAGGUCCAAGAUGCCAACUUCUACAAAAAAGGGAUCCGUAUGCUUCAUGACUGCUGGACUAAGUGUGUGAAUGUAGGAAAAAUAAAUGUGCUAGGUUUUCUAGAAUUCACUCCUUCUACCAUAGGCUAUGAACUUAUCAAUCACCCCUUGUGUAUUUAGCUAGGGUGGCUAAGACUUUUGCACAGUCACGUAGAUAUAAAAGAACCUUCACUGAACUGUUAGAAGAUAAGUAAAAUAAAUAUCCCUUGAAGACUGAACAAUAUUUAAUUCUAUACUGAUCUCAGAAUGAGAUUUCAGAUCAUUAUCAUGUAACAGAGACAUGCUAUGUUCAAAUUGGAUGCUACAUUUACUAUAUUUUAUUAAUGAUCACAUUUCAAAAGUACUUGAUUGCCUGUGAUUCAAACAAGAAAUUCUGCAGAUGCUGGAAAUCUUGAGCAACAAACACAAAAUCCUGAAGGAACUCAGCACAGUGAGUUCUUCCAGCAUUGUUAGUGUGUUGAUUGGCUGUGAAGUAUGUUAAGAUGUCCUGAAAGGUGUAUUUUACAGAUAGACAACAAUUAAGUGAAAAUUGCAGAGAUGUAAACAGGAGCUAAAAUUCUUUGUUAUUUCUAAGAGAUCCAUGUGGGCAGGCAGCUUACAAAACUACUAGCUGUAGUGACCCUAUCCUUCCAUUUUCCUUAUGUGCCCAUCUAAAAGUCUCUGAAAAACCCUUAAUGUAACUCCCUCUACUACCACCCCGGGCAGCACCUUCCAGGCACCCACCAUUCUCUGUGUAAAAACUUCCCCUCACUUUAAAUGUAUGCCCUCUGAUAUUAGACAUAUCAAUUCUAGGAAAAAGAUACUGCCUGACAACUCUUACCUACGCCUUUCAUAAUCUUAUAAACCAAUAUCAGAACUUCCUUCAGCCUUCACCACUUCAGAGAAUCUUCUCAGAAUGUGUAUUGGGCUGCCUAAGGCACGUACACAUUCUUGGACCACAUUGCCUUGAAUACCCUCACAAUCUCACCCAUAUCAACCUGCCACUCCCAGUAUCAAAUACUCAAAAAGUUACUGAAAUUGACUUUUCUGCUGUCAUUGCCUCUGUGGGCCUCGUGAAUGUGGCACUAUUCACUUGAAUAGUUGGCGCGUUGGCCGAGAGGUUAAGGCAUUCAUCUAGUGAUCUGAUGGUCGCUAGUUCGAGCCUUGACUGAGGCUGCGUGUGUGUCCAUGAGCAAGGCACUUAACCACAUGUUGCUCUGCGACGACACCGGUGCCAAGCUGUAUGCCUUUCCCUUGGACAACAUCGGUGGUGUGGGUCCAACUUGGGCAACUUGGGCAGCAGCUUGGGCAACUGCUGGUCUUCCAUAAAAAAAAACCUUGUCCCCUGGAACCUUUUCAAGGCACAAAUCCAUGGUCUAUCGAGACUAACAGAGGCCUACUACAUUCACUUGAUCUUUGAUUUAUCACUAGAUCUAUGAUUUAUAUAUUCUUGUCUACUCCAUAAUGUAAAAACCUUUGGUCAGAUUUCUUCACAAAUUAACAUGAGUUACAUCACUGAAAAGAAAGGCAUUUGUUCUCUGCUCUCCACUGCCAAGAGUGUCUGAAGAUGCUGGAUCAGUCUAUUGACAAAAAGCUUCAAGAACAGUUUCACAUAAAUUGUGUGCUGAGUUCUGGCAGCAUCAGUUCUGGAGUGAGGAAUAAGAUUUCAGAUUAUUUAUUGUUAUUCUUCAUUAUACAAGCGUGAAGGAGAUUGAAAUGAUUGUUAGUUCAAAUCCAUGGCAGCAUAAAGAAUGGAACUUAAAAUUAGCUAAACCUUGGUUUAGUUUUCACUCUCAAGCCCUGGUCCCAUCACUUCCAUUCAGCCCAAGAGUAGAAAAUGGCUGCCUUGGCUGUAUGUGCAUUCUCGAGAGUCCAAAACACUAAAUCCUUCAAGAUGCCACAAAAACACUAGGUCUUUCAGACAGUUCAAAAACACAAUCCCCCAAAGGGAAAUUCAAAACUGCAGAUUGUAGUGCAAAAAAAGUAUAGUAUAUUUAGUAGAAUUGUUAGCAGUUUUACUAGCUCAGAGACAGAAAAUGUUUCAAAACAUGUUUACCAGCACUUCACAACAAAACAGUGAUGCUCUGCAUGCUUCAUACAACGUUUCAUUGCUCAUUGUUAAAUCUGGACAGCCCUAUACAAUUGGAAAAGUGAUUCCACCAGCAAUAAGGGAGGUUCUGAGUACAGUUUUGCAUAAGUCACGAGACCAAAUAAAGCGAUUCUGCUCAGCAACAACUCUGUUCAAAGACAAAUAGAUGAAUUGUCUGAGAAUGUGGAAGACACAUUGUGCAAUAUUCUUAGGACAACUGAAUUUUAUAAGUCAACCAGUUAGAUAAGUCAACUUUGCUGGACAGCGAAUAUUUGCUUCUUGAUAACUUUUGCUUAAUAAAAGAUGAAAACAUGGUACAAGAGUUGAUAUUUGCAAGGGGUUUAGAAAUAGAUAUGAAGGGGGAGUCAAUAUUUCAGGUUGUUGGGCAACUUUUCAAAGAAGGAUAUUCCGCUACCAACAUUCUUACUUGUGCAAUAGAUGGGGCACCAUCAAUGACAAGAUUCCACUGCGGGGUUAUUACAUUCUUGAAAAAUGCUAUAUCUAACAUAUUUACCAUUCACUGUGUAAUUCACAGGUAAGAUCUACUGUAAGGGAUCAGCUGCACAAAUCAUUGAAUACUGUUAUUGUAGUGGUAAAUAAAAUGGAGACUCAUACUCCUGAAUCUCAACUACUUUGAGAGCUUUUUAUUGAGAAAGAUGAACAGUUUGAACGCUUGCAUCAGAUGACUUUCAAGAGGAAACCAUCUGAGACACUUUAAUACACUUUUUGAAACUAUGAUAACAUUUUGAGAAGACUUGAAUGCUUCAUUCAGUAAUCAACUUAAGAAUAUUAGGCGUGACAUUACUUAUUUGUCAAAAUUAUUCACAAAGUUUAAUUAAAUUAAUCUUUGAUUGCAAUGAAAUUAUAUGAAUCUUAUCAAAGUUAAAUCAGUCAUCUGCACAUUUCUGUUCAGGUUAACCCUAUUUAAAUGCAACAUUGGCUGUCUUGAACUUACCCGUUUCUGAGCCUCUCUGAGUUGGAAGAGACAUAUCGGAGAGAUUUCAGGAUGUUCUCUUGAUCCAAAUUCCAGAUUGGGUAAUAAAUCCAUUCUUGAACACUUGUAAUGAGGAAUUUUCAGGAAGGAUGGAGGAAGAACUACUCUUGCUACAAAAUGACUGCACUGAAGCCCAGGUUCAAAACAAUCAUAUCAAGACCUUUGGUUACAGAAAAAAUCUCUGAAUACUAUAAUACUAUCCUGCACCGUGGAAAAAAAUCAAAAUCUUCUUUCUUCCCUUUCCAACAUCAUAUUUAGUAGAGCACAGUUUCAGUGCAGACACCCAACUUCUUUUAAAGCGAUGAAACAGAACAUGGGAAUCUGAGACUCCUGAUGUGGAGAAGCUGGUAUCACCGCUGCAACCCCCGCCAUCUCAUUGAAAAAUGAAAAAGCGGUUUCCGGUGACGUCAUCGUCGAGAAUGGCAGCUUAAGUCACUAGCUCCUCCGGAAAAACGCGUAUUACGCCCCGUUAUCCCAUCAAAUAUAAUAUUUUUAGAAAAAUAUUUGUACUGAAAAGGGGCAAGAAUGGGGAGAAGAAAUGGAAAUAAAAAGGCGACACUGCGGAGCGUGCGGCCGAGAGGGGUGCUCGAGCGGCUGUCCGACCCGACCGCGUGCUAGCCAGGCGGACGCUGGGCCUCGCUCAAGUAUGAUCGCAGCAGCUCCGUGAUAUUAGGGCAGAGCUCGCCAGCGUUAAUCAAAAAAUAGUGCUGGCAGAGACUCGCAUUGAGAAGGUGGAAGAUCACGUUCAAAAUGUGGAGUGGAUACUGAGCAAGACAAUAAAAAUCAUAAAUCACCAAGAAGGUAAACUGCUUGACCUGGAGGGAAGAUCACGACGGAAAAAAUAUCAGAAUCUACAAUGUCCCCGAAGGAGCAGAGGGCUCGUCUAUGACGGACUUUGUCGAAAAGUUACUGCGGGAAGCACUGGAUCUUCCCUCAGCUAUGGAGCUGGAAGUCGAAAGAGCCCAUUGUGCACUCGUCCCGAAACCUACCCGGGAUAGAAAGCCACGCUCAAUUAUAAGUAAAUUCCUGCGGUACAGCACCAAGGCGCAGAUUCUACGAAGGGCCUGGGGUAAGAAGAGAGUGUUUUUCGAUGAUAAAUUAAUAUAUUUCAACCAAGAUUAACCACUCCCCCCCCCCCCCCCGCAGUCCUGCAGAAACACAAAGAAUACUCUGAAGUAAAGAGAGUACUAAAGCAAAACAAUAUUAGAUUUCAAACUCCGUACCCUGCUAAACUUCGAGUGUUUUAUGACAACGGGACACGGUUGUACCAGAUAGAGGAAGAGGUGACUACCGACAUGAAAGCCAAAGGGUUGCCCGUCAGUGUGACCAAAACGAGAAAUUCCUGAUUGAGGAGUUAUCCUGCUCCGCUUGGGAAAUAGUGUGAGAAUCAAGAAGGCAGGAGACGAGAGGAGGCUGAGAGAAAUAUAUCAGGAAGAGACGAGAGUUUCCCAAAGACAGUCCUCAACCCCUUCAGAAGAGCCAUAAGGUUUGGCUAACUUUAAAAAUGUUGAGAAGCUAAACGGAAGCAAAAGUACACGGUGAUAUACCUAUCUCGAGAAAUACUUAUUAUAAUGUGGAUUUUAUAUUACUUAGUUGUUAUUCUUUAUUCUCUCACUUACUCCUUUUCCCCCACCAAAAUGAGAAUAUAUAUAUGUGUAUGUAAAGUGUGUGUGUAUAUAUAAAAGUUUGUGUAUGUAUGUAUAUAUAUAGGAGUACACAGGGAAAUCUUUUCUGUGUAAUGGAUUUGUUCACUGACCUUUAUGAAUACUGCAAUGGGGGCCCUUAAUUCACAAGUAGGAGGGGUUAUCCCCCACAGCUAGACAUUUCCUCUAGCUCAACGCAGGGACAUCUACUAGAGACCUCAGCCUUAGAAACAGAUGUUCGUUGCCAUUUUGUUGUUAUUUGCGUUUCUUGGUUCUUAUUUGCUCAGGGAGUAGAUCGAUUAAGUUUUAUUCUAAUUUCAAUGGUACAUUGACAGAUAAAUACAGAUGGCUAAGGACAAGGUAAAAUUCAUAAGAGAAUUUUAUCCAAUUUGGAACAAUUUGAUUCAUACUGGGAAAAAUGGUUUAACUACGUAAUGCCUCAUAGGCCUGAUUUUAUUCUCACAAAUCAAUGAAUCUGUUGUUAAAAAAAAACACUCCCUACUUGUACAUAGUUCAUUCCUUUUGCUUGUUUUUUCUUUCCAUUCUUUUCUAUGUGUGUAUACCCCAGAUAAAUACUUUGUGGAGAUUUCUGAUAUAUAUGAUUAUAUGAUAUAUAUGUACAAUGUCUGAAAUACAUCUUAUGGAAAUGUUUGUUUGAUGAUGAACUUCAAUAAAAAAUAAAUUACAAAAAAAAAGAAAAAUGAAAAAGCAAUGAAGUUAGCUCUUGUGCAGUUUUUCAUUGAUUCUGUUGUGUUUCUUUGUAUUUACUGUGAAUGCCCAAAAGCACUGUAAAUGAAUCUUAAGAUUGUAUAUAG